rnacentral:rRNA from 1 species
GGUUGAUGCCGUCGGCCCAGGAGCAGCAGCUAGGCGCAGUAGAGCAGGUGGGGUCGGGUCAUGCUCGAGAGGUGGCUGGAGGAGAGCUGGGGCACUACCAACAGCUACGGUGACACUAGCUGAUGCAGUAGCUGCUGGGGGAGGAAGAGCGGACUCGUUGGUCUACAGCCUCGGGUCCUCGGUCUACGGUAGCGGCUACGAAUGAUGAUGCACCUCCGGCGAC